rnacentral:rRNA from 1 species
UACAGAGGGUGCAAGCGUUAAUCGGAAUUACUGGGCGUAAAGCGCGCGUAGGUGGUUUGUUAAGUUGAAUGUGAAAUCCCCGGGCUCAACCUGGGAACUGCAUCCAAAACUGGCAAGCUAGAGUAGGGCAGAGGGUGGUGGAAUUUCCUGUGUAGCGGUGAAAUGCGUAGAUAUAGGAAGGAACACCAGUGGCGAAGGCGACCACCUGGGCUCAUACUGACACUGAGGCACGAAAGCGUGGGGAGCAAACAGG